AUCUCUGACGAUCAAUUUGGAUCAAGGUGAAGCGAGAAGUAUAUUCUCAAAGAAACAGUGUCAUUUCUGGGAUAUUUACGCCUCGAAUUGAAAGCCGUCCCAAGUGUAAGUGGACUGCAGAGGUGCUAUUAAAACUUCGAGAACUCCAAGAAGUUCCACUCCUGAAUGUGUUGUUGCAAAUAUUCCUUUACGGUGUUAGUGGCACAGAAAGUUGCUGUUUGGAAAUUCAUAGUUAAUACAUAAAUUCUUAACUGUGCAGAACUGGGUUGUAACAGAUCAACCGCUACAGACCAAUGGGCAUCAGUAAUAUGCAAGCAGGUCAACAUACAGCAACCACUGCAGAAAUCAUCGGCUGCCGCACGUGUGCAGCAGCCAUGGCUCAGUUGCCUCGCUCGCCCUUUGCUGCGGAACACCGCACCGUCUCUGCCUCUCACCCGCCCGACGACACCUCAUCCGACUCUCACCUCAUUGCGGCACCGACAGCUGCAAUUCCAGCAGUAGUGCCUCGGCUUCCAAAUCAUUCCUAGUUCAACGCAUCUUUAUUCUCUAUCUGAGUCUCCACUACAUCGAUAGAUGGAAGGAAUUCAGUUGCUGCUUUGCAUCAGGAGUAGACCUCAGAGAUGUCCAGGUAUCGUGAAUGGGAUCUUUCCUGCAAAGUGUAUGUUGGGAAUUUAGGCAGCAGUACCUCGAAGUAUGAGUUGGAAUCGGCAUUCAGCAAGUUUGGCCCAUUGAGGGAUGUCUGGGUUGCGAGGAAUCCUCCAGGGUUUGCAUUCAUUGAAUUUCAAGACCCUAGAGAUGCUGAAGACGCAGUAAGAGCUCUAGAUGGUACACGAAUGUGUGGCACCAGGGUUCGUGUGGAGAUGUCAACUGGUAGGAGUCGUCGUGGAGGUUGGGGGCGCAGUGGACGACGCUCACCAACACCACGCAGGCGUUCAUACAGUCGUUCUCGCUCCAGGUCUCGUAGCGACAGCCCCCGCCGUUCUCGUUCAACUUCAAGAGAUAGGCGCUAAUGCAGUUGUACUUAAUCCUGGUAUGCAGGCAUUAUUUUUAUGACCUGAUUUGAAAGUUGCUGGAUGGAUUUGUGUAAGUUAUGACUGUAAGAGUACAUUUAUUUGUCAUCUUCUGUGCCUUAAGUAUAUGCAGUUGAUCUGAAGCACUCCAGUAGCUUGAAAGUAUUUUUUUCGUUUUGUCACUAAGAGCAAUAACUUUAUUACCAUUUGUAAAAUCUUUAUAGUUUUAUUUGUGAAAGACUUGACAUUCGACUUCGGUAUGUCAGUUUAGCAGGUGGAUUCUGUAAAGUUGUAUUGUCAUGAGAUGUACUGUGCAUCUAUGCUUUUCACACUGCAACACAGUUAGUCCUGACCCUUGUCAAUUGUCAGUCACCAUCCUGUAAGCAGAGACUUGAUAAAAGUAUGAUGAUGAAUCAUAUCAUUGAAAAUAGUCAAUUUUUGUAAGUAGAUGUAAGUUUUAGCUUUUAAGUGAUAUUAGUAUCAUGUGAAACAUACCUAGCUUAGGUACUAAUGUGUGUAGUUAAUGCAAUACUGUACUGCAGUGGUACCGUAUUAAGUCUGUAUAUAAUUCAGUAUGUGCAUCAAAACAGUGACUAAGAAGUUACAUUUUGUUAUUUAUGAAAAUUGGUAUUCUGCAAGAAUGCCUGUAACUAUUUGCCUAUAGGCAUGGCGUUCAAUGUGUUCAAAGAAUUCUUAGCACUUCCCUUCAUCUAAAAACAAUGUGAAAUAGAAAAUCCUCCAUUUUCCUUUCCUUCACUUGUAUUGAAUGAAAUGUGAAAGAUGUACUGUAAUUUUGUAAUUAAAGAAUUGUGGUCUCUUUGAA